rnacentral:rRNA from 1 species
AAAACUCUAAGCGGUGGAUCACUCGGCUCAUGGGUCGAUGAAGAACGCAGCAAACUGUGCGUCAUCGUGUGAACUGCAGGACACAUGAACAUCGACAUUUUGAACGCAUAUCGCAGUCCAUGCUGUUAUGUACUUUAAUUAAUUUUAUAGUGCUGCUUGGACUACAUAUGGUUGAGGGUUGUAAGACUAUGCUAAUUAAGUUGCUUAUAAAUUUUUAUAAGCAUAUGGUAUAUUAUUGGAUAAAUAUAAUAAUUUUUAUUCAUAAUAUUAAAAAAUAAAUGAAAAACAUUAUCUCACAUUUGAAUGUGAAAAACGAAGAGAAAUAUUUUCUUUUUCAAUCAAAUAAUACUGAGAAAUGUCUAGCAUAAAAAAUUGAAAUAUUUUUCAUCUAGAAUUGUCUCUUAUUAAUGAUUCGGAAAUAGAAAAAUCUUGGUUAUGUUAUUAUUCUUCGUUGGUUCGUUAAAAAUGGAUAAAUAAAAACUUUGCAUACAAGAAUUAAUAAAAAUGUUAUAACGAAUUUAAUUAAAUGUUUUAUCAUUAUAUAUAAAGAAUUUAUGGCAAGAUAAAGUUAUAUACAACCUCAACUCAUAUGGGACUACCCCCUGAAUUUAAGCAUAUUAAUUAGGGGAGGAAAAGAAACUAACAAGGAUUUUCUUAGUAGCGGCGAGCGAAAAGAAAACAGUUCAGCACUAAGUCACUUUGUCUAUAUGGCAAAUGUGAGAUGCAGUGUAUGGAGCGUCAAUAUUCUAGUAUGAGAAAUUAACGAUUUAAGUCCUUCUUAAAUGAGGCCAUUUACCCAUAGAGGGUGCCAGGCCCGUAUAACGUUAAUGAUUACUAGAUGAUGUUUCCAAAGAGUCGUGUUGCUUGAUAGUGCAGCACUAAGUGGGUGGUAAACUCCAUCUAAAACUAAAUAUAACCAUGAGACCGAUAGUAAACAAGUACCGUGAGGGAAAGUUGAAAAGAACUCUGAAUAGAGAGUUAAACAGUACGUGAAACUGCUUAGAGGUUAAGCCCGAUGAACCUGAAUAUCCGUUAUGGAAAAUUCAUCAUUAAAAUUGUAAUAUUUAAAUAAUAUUAUGAGAAUAGUGUGCAUUUUUUCCAUAUAAGGACAUUGUAAUCUAUUAGCAUAUACCAAAUUUAUCAUAAAAUAUAACUUAUAGUUUAUUCCAAUUAAAUUGCUUGCAUUUUAACACAGAAUAAAUGUUAUUAAUUUGAUAAAGUGCUGAUAGAUUUAUAUGAUUACAGUGCGUUAAUUUUUCGGAAUUAUAUAAUGGCAUAAUUAUCAUUGAUUUUUGUGUUUAUUAUAUGCACUUGUAUGAUUAACAAUGCGAAAGAUUCAGGAUACCUUCGGGACCCGUCUUGAAACACGGACCAAGGAGUCUAACAUAUGUGCAAGUUAUUGGGAUAUAAACCUAAUAGCGUAAUUAACUUGACUAAUAAUGGGAUUAGUUUUUUAGCUAUUUAUAGCUAAUUAACACAAUCCCGGGGCGUUCUAUAUAGUUAUGUAUAAUGUAUAUUUAUAUUAUUUAUGCCUCUAACUGGAACGUACCUUGAGCAUAUAUGCUGUGACCCGAAAGAUGGUGAACUAUACUUGAUCAGGUUGAAGUCAGGGGAAACCCUGAUGGAAGACCGAAACAGUUCUGACGUGCAAAUCGAUUGUCAGAAUUGAGUAUAGGGGCGAAAGACCAAUCGAACCAUCUAGUAGCUGGUUCCUUCCGAAGUUUCCCUCAGGAUAGCUGGUGCAUUUUAAUAUUAUAUAAAAUAAUCUUAUCUGGUAAAGCGAAUGAUUAGAGGCCUUAGGGUCGAAACGAUCUUAACCUAUUCUCAAACUUUAAAUGGGUAAGAACCUUAACUUUCUUGAUAUGAAGUUCAAGGUUAUGAUAUAAUGUGCCCAGUGGGCCACUUUUGGUAAGCAGAACUGGCGCUGUGGAUGAACCAAACGUAAUGUUACGGUGCCCAAAUUAACAACUCAUGCAGAUACCAUGAAAGGCGUUGGUUGCUUAAAACAGCAGGACGGUGAUCAUGGAAGUCGAAAUCCGCUAAGGAGUGUGUAACAACUCACCUGCCGAAGCAACUAGCCCUUAAAAUGGAUGGCGCUUAAGUUGUAUACCUAUACAUUACCGCUAAAGUAGAUGAUUUAUAUUACUUGUGAUAUAAAUUUUGAAACUUUAGUGAGUAGGAAGGUACAAUGGUAUGCGUAGAAGUGUUUGGCGUAAGCCUGCAUGGAGCUGCCAUUGGUACAGAUCUUGGUGGUAGUAGCAAAUAAUCGAAUGAGACCUUGGAGGACUGAAGUGGAGAAGGGUUUCGUGUGAACAGUGGUUGAUCACGAGUUAGUCGGUCCUAAGUUCAAGGCGAAAGCCGAAAAUUUUCAAGUAAAACAAAAAUGCCUAACUAUAUAAACAAAGCGAAUUAUAAUACACUUGAAUAAUUUUGAACGAAAGGGAAUACGGUUCCAAUUCCGUAACCUGUUGAGUAUCCGUUUGUUAUUAAAUAUGGGCCUCGUGCUCAUCCUGGCAACAGGAACGACCAUAAAGAAGCCGUCGAGAGAUAUCGGAAGAGUUUUCUUUUCUGUUUUAUAGCCGUACUACCAUGGAAGUCUUUCGCAGAGAGAUAUGGUAGAUGGGCUAGAAGAGCAUGACAUAUACUGUUGUGUCGAUAUUUUCUCCUCGGACCUUGAAAAUUUAUGGUGGGGACACGCAAACUUCUCAACAGGCCGUACCAAUAUCCGCAGCUGGUCUCCAAGGUGAAGAGUCUCUAGUCGAUAGAAUAAUGUAGGUAAGGGAAGUCGG